rnacentral:rRNA from 1 species
GAUUUUUAAUCGAGUGGCGGACGGGUGAGUAACACGUAAGAAUUUACCUUUAGGAGGGGGACAACAACUGGAAACAGCUGCUAAUACCCCAUAUGCUUUUAAGUGAAAUGGAUUUUCUGCCUGAAGAGAAGCUUGCGGCUGAUUAGCUUGUUGGUAAGGUAAGAGCUUACCAAGGCGACGAUCAGUAUCUGGUUUGAGAGGACGAUCAGACACACUGGAACUGAGACACGGUCCAGACUCCUGCGGGAGGCAGCAGUAGGGAAUUUUCCGCAAUGGGCGAAAGCCUGACGGAGCAAUACCGCGUGAGGGAUGACUGCCUAUGGGUUGUAAACCUCUUUUUUCAGGGAGGAUAAAGACGUUACCUGAAGAAUAAGCAUCGGCUAACUCCGUGCCAGCAGCCGCGGUAAUACGGAGGAUGCAAGUGUUAUCCGGAAUCACUGGGCGUAAAGCGUCUGUAGGUGGUUAAAUAAGUCAACUGUUAAAUCUUAGAGCUUAACUGUAAAAUCGCAGUCGAAACUAUUAAACUCGAGUAUAGUAGAGGUAAAGGGAAUUUCCAGUGGAGCGGUGAAAUGCGUAGAUAUUGGAAAGAACACCAAUGGCGAAGGCACUUUACUGGGCUAUUACUGACACUCAGAGACGAAAGCUAGGGUAGCAAAUGGGAUUAGAUACCCCAGUAGUCCUAGCUGUAAACAAUGGAUACUAGGUGUUGAACAGACCGACCUGUGCAGUACUAAAGCUAACGCGUUAAGUAUCCCGCCUGGGAAGUAUGCACGCAAGUGUGAAACUCAAAGGAAUUGACGGGGGCCC